rnacentral:rRNA from 1 species
GGAUUAGAUACCCUGGUAGUCCACGCUGUAAACGAUGUCAACUAGCCGUUGGGAACCUUAGUGUUCUUAGUGGCGUAGCUAACGCGUUAAGUAGACCGCCUGGGGAGUACGGUCGCAAGAUUAAAACUCAAAUGAAUUGACGGGGGCCCGCACAAGCGGUGGAGCAUGUGGUUUAAUUCGAAGCAACGCGAAGAACCUUACCAGGACUUGACAUCCUCUGCAUUACCCUUAAUCGGGGAAAUCCCUUCGGGGACAGAGUGACAGGUGGUGCAUGGUUGUCGUCAGCUCGUGCUG